UCAAAGAUUAAGCCAUGCAAGUGAAAGUAUAUAUAUAUUUAUUAUAUAGAAACUGCGAACGGCUCAUUAAAACAGUUAUAAUCUACUUGACAUUUUUUUUAUAAGGAUAACUACGGAAAAGCUGUAGCUAAUACUUGAACGAUUGUUCUUCAGUUCCCCAAAAAGGUUCUGUAGAACACGUAUUUGUUAAGCCUAAUAAGAAAAAAGUUAUUAACUUAAGGAAUUAUAACAAAGAGGGAACACAUAAUAAAACUUUGUUUUAUUUAGUGUGUAUCAAUCGAGUUUCUGACCUAUCAGCUUUUGAUGUUAGGGUAUUGGCCUAACAUGGCUAUGACGGGUAACGGGGAAUUAGAGUUCGAUUCCGGAGAGGGAGCCUGAGAAAUAGCUACCACAUCUAAGGAAGGCAGCAGGCGCGUAAAUUACCCAAUUCUAAAGAAGAGAGGUAGUGACAAGAAAUAACAAGGUAAGGUCAAAUUUUGGCUUUGCCAUUGGAAUGAUAGGAAUUUAAAAACUUCCUAAAGUAACAAUUGGAGGGCAAGUCUGGUGCCAGCAGCCGCGGUAAUUCCAGCUCCAAUAGCGUAUAUUAAAAUUGUUGCAGUUAAAACGCUCGUAGUUGAAUUUCAAAGAAUCAAUUUUUAAGGUAAUGCUUUAUCGGAUACGUGUUAAAUGGUGCUUCGGCGCGUAUUUUUCACAAUUCUGAUAUUAUGUAUUCCUUAAAAUAAAAUAGGUUCUUUUUAAAAAUUCUUCGUUGCUUUAUGUGAUGAGGAUUUUUGUUACUUUGAGUAAAUUAGAGUGUUCAAAGCAGACGGUUUAUAAAACAGGUAAAACUGGGUUUGAAUACUACAGCAUGGAAUAACAAAAUUGAACAAGCUAAAAUUUUUGUUCUUUUUUCUUAUUUUGGCUUAGUUACGAUUAAUAGGAGUAGUUUGGGGACAUUCGUAUUCAGAUGUCAGAGGUGAAAUUCUUAGAUUUUCUGGAGACGAACAACUGCGAAAGCAUUUGUCUAAAAUACUUCCAUUAAUCAAGAACGAAAGUUAAGGGAGUGAAGACGAUCAGAUACCGUCGUAAUCUUAACCAUAAACUAUGCCAACUAGGUGUUGGAUGAAAGUGUAAAAAAUAAAAGAUGAUCUAAUGUAACAUUUAGAUUGUCUUUUAGCUUACUUCCUUCAGUACCUUAUGAGAAAUCAAAGUCUUUGGGUUCUGGGGCGAGUAUUCGCGCAAGCGAGAAAGUUAAAAGAAUUGACGGAAGGGCACCACCAGGCGUGGAGCUUGCGGCUUAAUUUGACUCAACACGGGAAAACUCACUAGUUUAAGACAAGAGUAGGAUUGACAGAUUAAUAGCUCUUUCUUGAUUUCUUGGAUGGUGAUGCAUGGCCGUUUUUAGUUCGUGAAUAUGAUUUGUCUGGUUAAUUCCGAUAACGAACGAGAUCUUAACCUGCUAAUUAGCGGUAAAUACAACAUAUUCUUAAGUAAAUAAGAAUAUAGAUAAAAAUAACAAAUAAGAGAAAAUAUUAGGAUGUUAUUAUAUAUAAUAUCCUUUUCCCUUUUCUUCUUAUUUUGUUUUUUUAUUCUAUUUCUUUUUUUACUUAAGAAUGUAUUUACUUGAUUGUAAAGCUUCUUAGAGGGACAUUGUGUGUCUAACACAAGGAAGUUUAAGGCAACAACAGG
rnacentral:rRNA from 1 species